rnacentral:rRNA from 1 species
UAGGCGACCGGCGCACGGUGCGUAACGCGUAUGCAACCUACCUUUAACAGGGGGAGUAACACUGAGAAAUUGGUACUAAUACCCCAUAAUAUCAUAGAAGGCAUCUUUUAUGGUUGAAAAUUCCGAUGGUUAGAGAUGGGCAUGCGUUGUAUUAGCUAGUUGGUGGGGUAACGGCUCACCAAGGCGACGAUACAUAGGGGGACUGAGAGGUUAACCCCCCACACUGGUACUGAGACACGGACCAG